UCUCUGGUAGUAUAUCGGAUAGUACACCCGCCUGUCACAUCAAAAGUGCGCGGGAGAGCGGGGUUCGAUUCCCCGCCAGAGAG